rnacentral:rRNA from 1 species
UGGGGAAUAUUGCGCAAUGGGGGGAACCCUGACGCAGCCAUGCCGCGUGAAUGAAGAAGGCCUUAGGGUUGUAAAGUUCUUUCGGUAUUGAGGAAGGUUGAUGUGUUAAUAGCACAUCAAAUUGACGUUAAAUACAGAAGAAGCACCGGCUAACUCCGUGCCAGCAGCCGCGGUAAUACGGAGGGUGCGAGCGUUAAUCGGAAUAACUGGGCGUAAAGGGCACGCAGGCGGUUAUUUAAGUGAGGUGUGAAAGCCCCGGGCUUAACCUGGGAAUUGCAUUUCAGACUGGGUAACUAGAGUACUUUAGGGAGGGGUAGAAUUCCACGUGUAGCGGUGAAAUGCGUAGAGAUGUGGAGGAAUAUCGAAGGCGAAGGCAGCCCCUUGGGAAUGUACUGACGCUCAUGUGCGAAAGCGUGGGGAGCAAACAGGAUUAGAUACCCUGGUAGUCCACGCUGUAAACGCUGUCGAUUUGGGGGUUGGGGUUUAACUCUGGCGCCCGUAGCUAACGUGAUAAAUCGACCGCCUGGGGAGUACGGCCGCAAGGUUA